rnacentral:lncRNA from 1 species
UUAAUAAAAAAUAAUAAUUAAGUCACAAAAGAAAGUAGAGAAAAGUUUUAAACUUCCAACUUUUAAGAAUCUGUUGUAAAUCCACAAUGACAGUUAUCAUUUUACUAGCAAUUCAAUUGGUUUUUGAAAAUUAAAAAUAACAAAAACAAAUAUAAUAUUAAUUUAUUUUUUCUUUUAGAAUCUAUAACAGUCAUGCUCUAACAUUUUAAUAUAAUUAUGAAAAUAAUUUAAUACUACACGUUUGUGGAAGCUACCACGUCAUCCUUCUAGACCUCAGUGGUCACAGGCUGGAGAAUAUCCUUGUGUAAACCAAU